UGAGGAAUAUUGGUCAAUGGGCGAGAGCCUGAACCAGCCAAGUAGCGUGCAGGAUGACGGCCCUAUGGGUUGUAAACUGCUUUUAUGUGGGGAUAAAGUGCGUGACGUGUCAUGCAUUGCAGGUACCACAUGAAUAAGGACCGGCUAAUUCCGUGCCAGCAGCCGCGGUAAUACGGAAGGUCCGGGCGUUAUCCGGAUUUAUUGGGUUUAAAGGGAGCGUAGGCUGUCUAUUAAGCGUGUUGUGAAAUUUACCGGCUCAACCGGUGGCUUGCAGCGCGAACUGGUCGACUUGAGUAUGCAGGAAGUAGGCGGAAUUCAUGGUGUAGCGGUGAAAUGCUUAGAUAUCAUGACGAACACCGAUUGCGCAGGCAGCUUACGGGAGCGCAACUGACGCUAAAGCUCGAAGGUGCGGGUAUCGAACAGG
rnacentral:rRNA from 1 species